CCCCCCUUAGCUCAGCGGUAGAGCGUUCCGCUGUAGACGGAAAGGUCCCCGGUUCAAGUCUGGGAGGGGGGA
rnacentral:tRNA from 1 species